rnacentral:sRNA from 9 species
AUGUAUCACGUGCACGCGGUUCCUGCGCGCCGUCCACUCCGGCCUGACGACCGCUUACUACGUGGACUUAGCC